rnacentral:rRNA from 1 species
AGGACGAACGCUGGCGGCGUGCUUAACACAUGCAAGUCGAACGGUGACAUCAGAGCUUGCUCUGGUUGAUCAGUGGCGAACGGGUGAGUAACACGUGAGUAACCUGCCCUUGACUCUGGGAUAACUCCGGGAAACCGGGGCUAAUACCGGAUACGAGACGCGACCGCAUGGUCGGCGUCUGGAAAGUUUUUCGGUCAAGGAUGGACUCGCGGCCUAUCAGCUUGUUGGUGAGGUAAUGGCUCACCAAGGCGUCGACGGGUAGCCGGCCUGAGAGGGCGACCGGCCACACUGGGACUGAGACACGGCCCAGACUCCUACGGGAGGCAGCAGUGGGGAAUAUUGCACAAUGGGCGAAAGCCUGAUGCAGCGACGCCGCGUGAGGGAUGAAGGCCUUCGGGUUGUAAACCUCUUUCAGUAGGGAAGAAGCGUAAGUGACGGUACCUGCAGAAGAAGCGCCGGCUAACUACGUGCCAGCAGCCGCGGUAAUACGUAGGGCGCAAGCGUUGUCCGGAAUUAUUGGGCGUAAAGAGCUCGUAGGCGGUUUGUCGCGUCUGGUGUGAAAACUCAAGGCUCAACCUUGAGCUUGCAUCGGGUACGGGCAGACUAGAGUGUGGUAGGGGUGACUGGAAUUCCUGGUGUAGCGGUGGAAUGCGCAGAUAUCAGGAGGAACACCGAUGGCGAAGGCAGGUCACUGGGCCACUACUGACGCUGAGGAGCGAAAGCAUGGGGAGCGAACAGGAUUAGAUACCCUGGUAGUCCAUGCCGUAA